rnacentral:lncRNA from 1 species
GCGCUCUCAUCCCAGCCACUCGGCGCACGCCCCCCUGAGCCCGCGGCCGCCCUCACCUCCGCGGCCCCGGGGCCGUCACGCCGCACUCUUCCUCUCGCCUGCCUCGCGGAUGGUGGCAGCGGCGGCAGCGGCGACUCAGACCCUGGGGUCAGGGGGACGGGCGCCCAGGCCGGAAGUGACCUUCCCGGCCGCUUCCGCUCGCGCCUCUCCCUCUCCUCCCCCUCCCAGGCCGCCACCGCUACCUCGCCACUCUAGGCAGAGGAGCUCCAGGACCCCUGACCGCUACCCCCUCCGGCUCUAUGGUACGGAAAGGCGCCUCGGGACGCUACUUCCGGAAUUAUCUAGGACCCAGGUCCUCCGUUUUGCUCUAUGGCGCCUCGCUCCGAGGGGCUCGGGCCCCGCCCCCUCCCCGGACAGAAGGCUGGGCUCGACCCGUUAGGCGCACACUUCCGGGUGUCGGGGCGGCCCCCAACCCAGCCUCGUCGCUCGCGCCUGCGCGGUGAGCUGCCCGCGGCGACGCUCCCACUACUCCAGUCCUCCUGUCGUCUCUAUCAUCGUAACCCCUUCCGCCCCGGGGCGCUUCCAGGCCAACGCCGGUCUCAAGAAAAAAUUCGGUUCACGAGAUCUGGAGUUUUUCCCCAAAAUGUUUCCGCUCGAGCCUCCGGUGCGGGUUGCAUUUUGGGACGACCUCAUCUUGAAAUCGGCCUGUUUUGCAGAGAACCAGAGGUCACAUUACCUUACUAAGUGACAUAGCAAGAAUGACCUCGAACCUUCAGAGUAGGGCUCCAAAUUAAGUGUUUAUGACUUAUUACUCUCCUAGAAGAAAGGUCCAUCACAGUUUGGAGGAUGCUGAUGAUGAAGAAAAGGAAUGAAAGGACCCUCUACAGAUAUCUGCUUCCAAGGCACAAUUUGAAACUUGAAAGUCAAUGUCAGCUUCUCUGAGACAAAUGGUAUCAUCAUCACGUAACUACCUUUACAAAAGCAGGCGUCAGGUGCUGCUGACACUUGGACUAAGUAAGGGAUGGACUUUUUAAACAAACUCCUCCUGCACCAGAGAAAAUCCUGGGCAGCCUAAAGAAGCAAAGCCCACAGGCAAAACGAUACAUGACACCUGAGGACAAGCUAAGAAAAUGGAAAGCAUAGCCAUCUCCUUAGCAAGGUGCUCCAGAAGUCUUUGCUCAGCAGACUGUUAAGGAUGUGUAGAGAGUUAGAAAAUUCAAGAGGAGGCCUAUGCUGAGCCCUGUAAUGGAAAAUGUCCAAACUGCCUGUAAUUCAUGUUCAAGCGCUGGACUUCCGUGGUUAGAUUAAAGAUAAACCAGCCAGGACCUUUCAACGGGUGAUAAAGAUCACAGGCUGCUUGUAACUGAUCAAAAGGCUAAAGGCGAACCCACAGCAGGGGUAUUAAAAUGGCCCCAAAGCAGAAUGCCUGACCAGAGCCAAUUAAGGGGAAAGGAUUUACUUGAACGCACAGUUUGAAGAUCCCGUCCAUCAUGGCAUUGCAACCACAGUCAGGAAACAGACGGGUGAAUGCUGGCACUCAGCUCUCCAGAAACCCCAGCCCAUGGAGCAGUGCCACCCAUAGGUAAUGUGGGUCUUUCUAUCUCAGUUACCCUAAUCUAAAUAUCUCCCACAGUAUGUUGGAGGCUUGUCUAGAUCCAUCUAGAUCCCCUCAAAUUGGUCGUCAAUCUUUUUUUUACAUUUUUAAAAUAAUUUAUGGGCAUGCAUGUAUGCCAAAGUAUGCACAUGGAUGCAGUACCGGAAGAGGCGAGAGGUAUUAGAUUCCCUUGCAGCUGGGGUUGCAGGUGCUUUUAAGGUGCCCAGCAUAGCUGCCAGGAUCCAAACCCAGGCCCCCUGCAGGAGGACCAAGCACUCUUAACUGCUGAGCCAUCUCUCCAGUUUGGUAAUUGAUCUUGACCAUAACAGUUUUCCACACAUAGCUCAGUGAUUGCUAAGACUGGCUCUUCUUUUACAUGCAACUAUGCCAAAUUAUUCCCUGGUGUUUCUUCACACCCAAGGGCAUCUAAGCAUCUCUAGGCAUCUAAAUGUGGUCUCGUGUUUGGUUCUGACCAAUAAGCUAGAGCAGAAAUGUCAUAGGCUACUUCCGAGCCAAUGAGCUUAGGAAACAGAUAUGCCUGCCUGGCAUUCUUUUGGCCUUGCUGGUUAUAACAUGGGCCAGAGAAAACAGGUAAAGCCAGAGAAAAGCUGGGUUUGUAAAUGAGUGUUUGUAGAGACCAGCUUCCAGCCCCAACCUGAGAUUGUUACAUGAUGAGAAAAUAAACUUCUUGGUGUUGGAGGGAUGGCUCAGAGGCUAAGAGUGCUUGCUACUCUUCCAGAGUCCCCAAAUUUGGUUCCUUAGUACCCACCUGUAACUCCAGCUCCAGGAGCUCAAACUGCCCCUUCUGACCUCUGUGGGCACCUACACUCACAUGCACAAACCUACACAUACAGACACACAGAUAUACACAAAAUUAAAAAUCAAAUCUUUAAAAUAAUAUAAAGCCAUGAGACUGAGUAAGAUCUCAGAUGAGGGAAAAGAGUUGAAGUUGAAGGAGAACGGCAAACUGGUGGACACAGAGCUGUCAUCUGACAUAAACUGACCAAUCAGUGGACUUGCCUGGCAUUCUCUGGAACUGUGGUGAGAGUCUGAGUCCUGAGGUGGCAGAGGUUGACAAGCUCUGUAGCUGGAAACAGCCUUGUCACUCGGUGUGUGGGAUAAGCCUGUCUGUAGAAGAAACAAAUGAGAUUGUGUAGAGAAUAAACAGGCAGAUGUUUCUUCCCAGCCCUUCCGGGAACAAAAGCUUCUGGGGCCCUUAAGGCCCCCUGGCAUUCCUGUUGACUUGUUUUAACACUUCUUCCCUGAGCCUUGUCUUCAAACUCCCAUGAAUACUGGCCUUUAUAUACUUUCGCCUGCCUGAGUUUCUAUCACCAAACACCUCAAACCUGGUUCAGUGUUAAGAAACUGGUUCAGGCAGUUUGCGUCAGCCUCUAGAGUCACUAUGCCCCCAGGAAUUCCCAGGUACAGAUUUCUGAGGGGCAGCCCACACCAUAGAGCCCUUCACAGACCUUCAUCCUCCAGGGGAUGCCCUCUCCACAGAGUGAUGGGAACAGCUGCCAGUAGCAGAGGGGCUGCAGCUGUUGAAGUACAAUCGCCUUAAGAGUCUCCUGGUUACACACACACACACACACACACACAUGCACACACAUGCAUUCAUCCUUUGCAAACUAUCAUUACUAAAAUUAGCAAAUAAUUUUUGGGUUUUCAC